rnacentral:lncRNA from 1 species
GUCCCUGUGGGCUCGGAGCCCGAGCUGGCUGCAGGGUGCCACCACGGGCCUGGCAGCUGUGAUGGGCAGGAUGAGGGCAGUGCCAUGGAUGGGGCACGGUGCCAUCGCUGUAGGGCUGCAACCUGCAGGGCCAGUGCCUCGGUGCCAGCUCCAGGAGCCACCCAGCCGGGCUGGGGGCCUGAGCAGGGUCCUGCCAUGAGCCAUCCUGGCCACCAGCUGAGCUGCUGGGGGCUGCCCUGCUGCCCAUCCCCUCCCCGGGGGUGGCAAUCCUGGCGUGCAGAGCCAUUCCAGAGGGUUCCACACCUGGCUGGCACCAAAGGGGCUCCCCUGCCCUGCCGGGUGCAGGAUCCCAGGGAUGUCCUGUCCAAUCCAGGGCACCUCUCUGUCCCCCAUCCCAGUGCUGGGAUGCCUGGGGAGCCCUGUCCAACUCUGGGCUGCAGGAUCUGGGAUGUUGGGAUGUGGGAAAGGGAGCAGGGUCCCCUCUGUCCCCCGACACGGGGAUGCACAGGGGAGCUCUGUCCCUACUGUCCCCAGGUUCUGGGAUGUGGGCCAGGCUGUGCCCGGGUUCUGGGAUGUGGGUCCAGGUUCUGGGAUGUGGGUCCAGGCUGUGCCCAGGCUCUGGAAUUCAGGUCCAGGCUGUGCCCAGGUUCUCAGAUCUGGGUCCAGGCUGUGCCCACGUUCUGGGGUGCAGGUCUAGGCAGUGCCCAGUUCUGGGAUGUGGGUCCAGGCUGUGCCCAGGUUCUGGAAUUCAGGUCCAGGCUGUGCCCAGGUUUGGGAAUGCAGGUCCAGACUCUGGGAUGUGGGUCCAGUCUGUGCCCGGGUUCUGGGAUGCGGGUCCAGGCUGUCCUCUGGUUCUGGGAUGCGGGUCCAGGCUGUGCCCAGGUUCUGGGAUGCAGGUCCAGGUUCUGGGAUGCGGAUCCAGGCUGUGCCCAGGCUCUNNNNNNNNNNAGGUCCAGGUUCUGGGAUGCGGAUCCAGGCUGUGCCCAGGCUCUGGGGUGCAGGUCCAGGCUCUGGGAUGUGGAUCCAGGCUGUGCCCAGGCUCUGGGAUGUGGAUCCAGGCUGUGCCCUGGUUCUGGGAUGCAGGUCCAGGCUCUGGGGUGCAGGUUCAGGCUCUGGCACGGGGGAGCAGCGGAUCCCGGCUGCUCCCCGCGGGAUGCGG